rnacentral:rRNA from 1 species
GUAGGGAAUAUUGCGCAAUGGGGGAAACCCUGACGCAGCGACGCCGCGUGAGUGAUGAAGGCCUUCGGGUCGUAAAGCUCUGUUGCAGGGGAAUAAAAAAAUGAAGGUACCCUGUGAGGAAGGAUCGGCUAACUUCGUGCCAGCAGCCGCGGUAAGACGAGGGAUCCUAGCGUUGCUCGGAAUCAUUGGGCGUAAAGAGGGCGUAGGUGGCUUGGUAAGUCAGGUGUGAAAGCCCAGGGCUCAACCCUGGAAGUGCAUUUGAUACUGCUGAGCUUGAGUGUCGGAGAGGUUACCGGAAUACCUGGUGUAGUGGUGAAAUACGUAGAUAUCAGGUGGAACACCGGAGGCGAAGGCGGGUAACUGGACGAACACUGACACUGAGGCCCGAAAGCGUGGGGAUCAAACAGGAUUAGAUACCCCUGUAGUCC